CGGAGUCUGCGACAGGAGCCGCCAUGGAGCUCGGUAUCGAGCGAUCGCCCAAAGAGGAGGGCGAGUUGGAGGACGGCGAGAUCGACGAUGACAACGACGAGAAUGUUUACCCGGACUCGCGGUCCGGCUCGUCUUCCACUCCCAAGCCGAGGCCCAGCAACAGCGGGGGCUCGGGCCCCAAAACCCACCGGCCGCAGGGUCCGGGCAACGGCCUCAUGUACCGGCUCAAGGAGCCAUACCGGGGCUUCUCGCAGCCGCCGCCCCCGCCUCUCCCUCCUCCCGCUCUCCUCGGCGACUCGCCCCGCUCCAACUUCUGGGAGAGGAGCCACGGCACCUUCGGCCGCUUUCGCUUUCGGGAAGGUUCGAACCGCGGCCGCUGGGGCCGGGGGUGCCCGGGGUCCGGGCCCCGGGGCUGCAAGAGAGGGAGACCGGGGCUCGGACCUACCUUCAUCGGGAACAACAACAUCCGCAGAGAUUCCCCACCCAGGAAACCAAAAUUCUUUGGGCGGUCACCAUCAAGAAGACCAGCUCACUACUACAGAAAUGAGGAUGACAUGGAUGAAACAUUUGAAGACCUGCUUAGGAAGUAUAAGGAGAUUCAGCUGGAACUGGAAUGUCUUAAUAGAGAAGAAAAGAUGUCUCAAACUACCAAGGGAGAAAACUUGCUGGAAGAGGAAGCAGGUGUUGUAUCUGGGAACAUGAGUAUAGACGCCAACAGUAUUGAAAAGAACAAUUCACAGUUGUUAUCCACAGAAAAACCUCAGGUGAAAGCUUUUCAGGCAUUUGAAAUAAAACCUCUAAGACAAAAGCUACGUGCACCAGCUGAGAUGGAUCAAAGCAGCCAGGUCAAAGACUGCCAUAAAUCAGAGCUUUUAGAGCCUGCAACAAAUAAACAAGAUUGUGAAAGUAAAGACCCAGACCAUUCUAGUUCAAAUAGUAAAGGGUUGUUGGUGGAAUCUCCUUUUAAGGACAUUGUCAAAGUGGAGGAUGAUGAUGUGGAGGAGGAGGAGAAGGAGGAAGAGGAAGAGCUGUCAGAACUCCAGUUGCGCCUCCUUGCAUUGCAGUCUGCUAGUAGGAAGUGGCAACAAAAGGAGCAAUGUGUGAUGAAGGAGAGCAAGGAGAAGCUGACUAAACCGAAAAUAUCUCAGCAGAAAAUCAGAAGUAGCCCUAAUGCGCAUGUGGUCAAGAAAUCUCUUAGUGCAGCUGUUGCUACAAAGCAGGUUUUGCGAAGGCAGAAAACUCGAGCGUGGAAAAAACUGCAGCAGCAAAAAGAGCAGGAAAAGCAAAGAAGGGAAGAGGAGGAGAAAAAACAACUAGAAGAGGAAGAGCGAAAAAAACGCGAGGAUGAAAUCAGAAAAAUUCGUGACCUCUCCAAUCAGGAGGAGCAGUACAAUCGCUUUAUGAAACUUGUAGGAGGGAAAAGGAGGCCAGGUAGCAAGUCAACAGAUGCAGAUAUCAAAAAAUCACAGGAGAAGCCAAUGGAAGAGUCUGGAAACUUGUACCAGUAUGAUAAUUAUGAGGAGGUUGCUAUGGAAACAGAUAGUGAAACCAAUUCACCAGUAUCAUCUCCAGUGCCACCUUCAUUCUCCGUAGAUUACCAGUCAGGGUAUUUUGUUCCAGUGCCACCAGUACCAGUAUCGUUACAACAUCAAAAUAUAGGGGAGCCUGUGAACCCGAAUUAUUUGGAGACUUACUUCCCGGGUCCCUUAGAGCUACCCCUGCCGCCACCCCCCCCACCACUUCCUCCAGAGGAGCCAGAGCAGCCACCUAAACCUCCAUUUGCCGAUGAAGAGGAGGAAGAAGAAAUGCUGCUUCGAGAAGAAUUGUUGAAAUCUAUAGCAAAUCGGCGUGCUUUGAAACCUGAGCAGGACUCAGCUGAUAACUGUGAUCUAUCGUUGCCACCUCUUCCUAUUGAGAAUUCCCAAUCUGUACCAAUAAAUUUUUCAACUGCUGGCCUGAACUCCACAUUACAAACACGCCCCCAAAGCACAAAAUUUGCGAGAGGCCCUUCAGCUCCUCGGCCACUGAUAAUAAUUCCAAGGCACAAAUCUGUAGUUGUGAGACUGGAUGACUCUGAUGAUAGUGAGUCAGAUAGUGAACAAUCCAAUUUAAACGUGGGUGUCUUUGGAGGUUUGGAGUCCAUGAUUCGAGAAGCCAGAAGAUCCGCAGAGGCCUCAAAACCAAAGCCAAGACUAAAAGCAGAGAAAGAAAAUGAUCCUGCUGGAACCAAAGAUGGAUUUGCUGAGGGAGGGAAAAAGGAAAAUAGACUUUUAAAGGAAGAAAAUACCAGUCGUGAGAAGCAGCGACUGCUGAAAUUGGAUUUGUCAAGGGGUAGUCCAUCACCAGUUCAUGCAGAUGCUGAAGUAAAUGCUGUUGGAAAGAGAACAGUGGUCAGUAAACAACUGUCAGAUGUUGAAGAUAGACUGAGAAAACACAACCUCCUCUUGACAAAAGAUGAAUCUCUCUUAUCAAAUCUGCUACAACAAGAAGCAAAAAAGAAAGAAGCACUGCGUCAAGCUGAAGCCAAAUAUAUGAAGCAUAAAGAACAGUUGCAGGCAGCUGAGAAGAUUGUGAAUGCGAAUCGAAUGCUUCUUAAAAAGCUUCAAGAACAGAUCCACAAGGUACAGCAUCGAAUACAAAUUAAGAAGAAUUUGUCAGUAAAAUAUGAAGAAUUUGCACGAGCAAAAGCUGUUGCUAGUCGAGAAGUGGGAAAGCGUAAACGUGAACAAGAUUCAUUUGUAUCAAAUAAGAAUAUCCGGCUGGAUGGCUCAUCUAAACAUGCGGCAAUUUUAAAGAAACAAUCUGCUGAAUACAUAGCUAUGGAGAAAAAACGUUUGCAGCAACUUGAAUAUGAGUAUCGGCUGAAGAUUCAAAAACUGAAAGAGGCACAAGCUUUAAGGAAUGCAGGACAACCUGAUAGUUUGCCUGGAAUAGAGGAAGAGCAUGCAUUUGUGGUGUCCCAGCCUUCUCUGCAUGACCUAACGCAGGAUAAACUCAUUCUCGAUACUGAAGAAAAUGAUGCAGAAGAUGAAGUGCAGUCUCCAUCUCUAAGGGAACGAAGGAGGUCAUUCCGGGAAUCAAACUCUUUCACUAAGCCAAAUCUCAAGCACAAAGAUCUAAGUCAAGGAAAAGAAACUUUAAGCAAACCUACAAAGAAAAGCUUUGAUGAGCCUGAGCUGUUUCUUGGGCUCAAUAUUGACGAUCUUAAAAAGCUUCAUGGAGAGGCUGACGACUUGAAAACAUUGUUUCAGAAAACUUUGGUUUGGGUGUCUUCAAAAGAGAAACCCAUGCUUGGUCAGGAGAUUCCUGUGGAUUUGGACGUAGUAUUGGCACAGUCAAGACAAGUUGAUUUGAAACCAACUCCAUUUGAACCGUAUAAUAGCCCUCUUUUGGUCUUCAAAUCUUACAGAUUCAGUCCUUACUUUCGAAACAAGGAGAAACUUCUGAUUAGUUCAGUUUCCUAUAGCAACUUGAUCGAGCCCAAACAGUGUUUCUGUCGUUUUGAUUUAACUGGUACAUGCAAUGAUGAUGAUUGUCAGUGGCAGCACAUGAGAGACUGCAUUUUAAAUCAAUGCCAGUUAUUUCAAGAUCUUCUCUCCUACAAUUUAUCUCUGAUUAAAUGUUCAGACUUUAGUACAGAUGAAGAAAUCAGGGUUGCAGCAGAAAAUUAUUUGGAUAAACAGUUUGGCAAAAACAAAGAUCGUAUGACCACAGAUGAGAUGGCUGUUCUGCUUGUUAGCAAAGUGAAUGAGAGUACUGGUCACACACCUCCUUACACAACUUUCAAAGACCGAAGGAAAUGGAAACCCAAGCUUUCGAGAAAACAAGUUUCUGAAAGCAGCACCAUUAGCACCAGCGAUGAUGAACAAAAUUCUGGACCAAUAAGAUAUGCCAAGUCUGUGGAGCAUCCGUGGUCUGGAACUCAAGUUUUGGAUGCAGUUAUUACCCCAGAUGACGUUCGGUAUUUUACAGCAGAGACUGAUGACAUUGCCAAUCUAGAAACAAGUGUGAUGGAGAAUCCCGAAGAUGUGCAGCUUUGGAUUAAACUUGCGUACAAAUACAUGAAUCAAAAGGAAGGGACUCCAACAGAAUGUUUAGAUGCUGCAUUGAAUGCUUUAGCUCGAGCACUUGAAAUUAACAGAGCAAAUCCUGAAAUUUGGUGCCAUUAUCUCAACUUGUUUUCAAAACGAGGUACAAAGGAAGAGGUUCAAGAAAUGUGUGAGACAGCUGUACAGUAUGCUUCUACAAACGUAGUUUGGUGGACUUAUUUAAUGCUAGAGAACUCCUUUGAUGGAAAAGACUAUGUGUGUAGCCGAAUUGUGCAAUUCCUGAUGGAAACGAUAGAAAGAUCUGGAAAAUCGGAAAUUCUGUCUUUUCAACUACUUCAAUCCCUGCUUUUCUGGGUACAAUUAAGUCUCUUUAGUGGAAGGCAGCAGAAUGCACUGGCCAUUUUUCAGAAUGCCUUGAAGAAUUCAGAUGGUAAGAAAAGUGUGGCAGGAUACUUAAAUACAAAUGACUGCUGCCUGGCUUGGUUAGUCUAUAUUCACCUCAUUGAAUUCAACAGUCUCCCUUGCCAAUUCUUCGAUCCAGCUGUAGCCAUUCCAUCCAAGCUUGUAAAGAAGGAGCCAUUUCUCAUCCCUUGGCGAACUUCAAAAGAUAUAAAGACACAUCCUGACACAUUGCUUGCACUGUUUGAAGAUGCUGUACAAGCAUGUUCAGAAAACUGCCCUUCAGUGGAGGAGAGGAUUACAGCCUGUCUCCCAGUUUAUAGAAAUAUGAUUUUAGCAUUGAAGCUAAUGGGAAGGUGGGAAGCUGCUGAAAAUCUUUGCAAGACACUGCUACAGUCCUGCCCAACUGUGUACCAACUUAUUGAAGCUCUAGCUGACCUCUAUUUAGAGAGAAAACAGACCGAUGAUGCUGCAAAUGUGUGGCUUUGUGCAUUUAGAAGGAGUCCCUAUAAUGCUCAAUUAUUCUAUUAUGCAUUCAAAUUCUUUAAUUCAGUGAAAAAUAGAGACAUCAUUUCUGUUCUAUUUCAAGAAUUUAUCGACUCCUUAUUUGAAGGGGAAGCCCCUAAAUGCCACCCUACAAAUACUUUACGUCAGCUCCUGAAUUACCCCAUGCCCUAUGACUUCAGAGCACCUUCAUGCAAGGAACUAUUGAAUGGAGAACUGCUGAACACACAGAUCCCUUACCUAUGGCUAGUUUUUUGCUUGUGGCAGUCCAUUAAUGCAAGCACGAGAGAAGCUGUGGACACAUUUGAAGCAGCCCUGGGUACAGUUAUGCAGAAUGAUGUAGUGCAGCAAAUCUGGAUGGAUUAUCUUGUUUUUACCAGUAGCCAGCUUGUUGGAACCAAGAACAAGAUCAGAGACUUUAAAUUGUUUACGGACCUGGUGCAUAGAUGUUUGGUUACUGUCCCCACAAGAAUGCCUAUACCAUUCAGCUCUGCCAAUUAUUGGAGUAACUAUGAGUUUCAUAAUCAGGUGGUUUCCUUUUAUCUAAGUUGCCUCCCUCAAUCCCAGCACUGCAAAGCCUUGGAGAGAUUCCCUUCCAUCAUGCCAACUAAUGUUGGACUAGCACUAAGAAUACUGGAGCAGGAGUGGAAGGAGGGUAAUAUCCAGCACCUCAAACUACAGUUGAAUAUGUUUACACAUUCUCUGCCAAUCUGUUUGCCAAUUUGGAAAAUAGCUAUAGCUGUUGAAAGCAUGUUAAAGGACCACCAAAAUGAGGUUCGCCAGCUUUACCAACGAGCUCUUCAGAAGUUACCCCUUUGUGCAACGCUCUGGAAAGAUCAACUCUUGUUUGAAGCUUCAGAAGGAGGUAAAACUGAUAAUCUCAGAAAACUAGUAACCAGGUGCCAGGAGAUUGGCGUCAGCUUAGAUGAGCUCUUAAAUUUAAGCCCUUCCCAGAACAGAGGGCAGUGAUUACAGAGCGUAAAAAAAUCUUUCCUCAUCCCCCCUACGUUCAAGACUUGGCUGGUCUGUAGCUGUUGUCUGCAAAUGCAGGCAGUAAUCAGUGGAGAUGCACAUGCCCCCGCACCGACUUUCUUCGCUACGUGGUCAAAAAUCUCAGAGCUUACGAACCAGUGACCCAAAACAAGAUCAAUGAACUCCUACUUGGCCUCUGGGCCCUGUCAGAUUCUCGUAACAUCACGUCCGUGAUUCAAGAGGCCCCGCAGGCAUUAAUCUAGAAAUAGCUACCAGCUAUCCCGUGGUCCUUCACUCAGAGACGCAUCUGUUGGUGGGUUUAUUUGUUGGACAGUGCCUGCCACACAUGGAAGAGCACGGAGGACUGGAGCACGUGCCACAUCUGCGGCUGCCAGCAGGUGGUGGCAGCAGCAGCAAGGUGAAGGUGGUUUGGAGGAGAAAGAAAGAGUGGCAGGUAAGAGGAGCCCAGUGGCUCCAGAGAUUGUUUCUGUGAGGGGUGCGAUGAGAGGGAUGGGAGAAAUGAGAUGAUGGCUUGGGAAGGAUGGCAGGGAGGGGUGCGGCAGGAGUGGUUGGAGAUGAUAGAAUCAGUUAUGGGUGGCAAAAUGGCGGGGACAAUUAUUCGAUAAAAGCUAUUGAAAUGCAAAUGUUUUAGAAAAGCUGCCAGAUUAAUUAAUAGAAUACAUCAGCAUUGACUACAGACUAAAGAUUAUAACAGUCCAACUCCAAUGGGCAUGCCAAUGCACAAAUUUAGAUUGGAAGAAACGGAAACAAAGGGUAGAAUUUUUAGGUCAGCAUGCAGGUGCACGCCUGACCUGAUCAGGUGUGAAAUCGCGUGAGAUCAUGUCGGGCAAGUGUCCCCAUGUCAUCUUGUGCUCGCGCGACAUUUCGGUCAGCAGGCGGGCGCACGCAGAAUUUGGAAGCAGCCCACUGAUAAUUAAGAGGCCAAUUGGUUUAAUUAAAGAUGCAAUUGUCUCUGAUUUUUCAUGGUCCAUCUAACCUGAUGGUUGGCAGAUGACCAAAUCAGCCAGGCGGACAUUGCCUUUUUCAUGAAAUCUCAUCCAAGGGUGGGAUGAGCUUUCUUUAUUAAAUUUUUUUAAAAAAUCUAUGAACAGCAUUUUUAUCACGUAUAUGUUCAGAUGACUGUGAUGUGUGGACAUUAUUUUCCUGAUAUGAAAAACUUCAUUGGUUUUAAAGCCCUCAACUCCCUGAGGCAGCUCUCUGCCUUCAGGGAGCUUUCAUUUGGUGCUUGCCCGCACUUAUACCAGCACCCACUCUGCUCCCCAACCCAGCAGCUCUGAGCAUUUCAGCGUGCACUAAUUAGCCAGCCAGCGUGAAACCACGGUCAGGGGCUGAUUGAGGCCAAAGGUCCUACACACACACACACACAAUUUAUAAGACACACAAAACAUGGAUUUUAAGUAUGGGAUAAAACAGUUCAAUAGCACUAAUCAUGAGUACAAGAUUCGAUGGGUUGAUUUUGAC